rnacentral:rRNA from 1 species
GUGCCAGCAGCCGCGGUAAUACGGAAGGUCCGAGCGUUAUCCGGAUUUAUUGGGUUUAAAGGGAGCGCAGGCGGAAUGUUAAGUCAGCUGUGAAAUCCCGUCGCUCAACGGCGGAACUGCAGUUGAUACUGGCUUUCUUGAGUGCACAUAAGGAUGGUGGAAUUCGUGGUGUAGCGGUGAAAUGCUUAGAUAUCACGAAGAACUCCGAUUUGCGAAGGCAGCCAUCUGGGGUGCAACUGACGCUGAGGCUCGAAAGUGCGGGUAUCAAACAGGAUUAGAUACCCUGGUAGUCCGCACAGUAAACGAUGAAUACUCGCUGUCGGCGAUAUACAGUCGGCGGCCAAGCGAAAGCAUUAAGUAUUCCACCUGGGGAGUACGCCGGCAACGGUGAAACUCAAAGGAAUUGACGGGGGCCCGCACAAGCGGAGGAACAUGUGGUUUAAUUCGAUGAUACGCGAGGAACCUUACCCGGGCUUGAACUGCACCCGACGGACAAAGAGAUUUGUCUUCCGCAAGGGCGGGUGUGGAGGUGCUGCAUGGUUGUCGUCAGCUCGUGCCGUGAGGUGUCGGCUUAAGUGCCAUAACGAGCGCAACCCUUCUCUUCAGUUGCCAUCAGGUAAUGCUGGGCACUCUGGAGACACUGCCAUCGUAAGAUGCGAGGAAGGUGGGGAUGACGUCAAAUCAGCACGGCCCUUACGUCCGGGGCUACACACGUGUUACAAUGGGAGGUACAGAAGGCCGCGACCCGGCGACGGGAAGCCAAUCCCCAAAUCCUCUCUCAGUUCGGACUGGAGUCUGCAACCCGACUCCACGAAGCUGGAUUCGCUAGUAAUCGCGCAUCAGCCAUGGCGCGGUGAAUACGUUCCCGGGCCUUGUACACACCGCCCGU